rnacentral:tRNA from 1 species
GCUCGGGUGGUGGAAUUGGUAGACACGCACGCUUGAGGGGCGUGUGGCGAAAGCCGUGCGGGUUCAAGUCCCGCCUCGAGCACCA